rnacentral:lncRNA from 1 species
UUCUGCGUUAAAUGCCACAUUUAUUUCAGAACCGAACAAGCCUCACGCGUGCACGGACGGCCGGGACCCGAGGCGCCAGCCCCGAGCACGGGGCAGGGAGGGCCGGGACCAGAGGGCACAGGGGGCAGCUCUCCCUCAGCAGGUCCCCGCCCGCCCGCUGGUGCUCGCCCACCCUCCAUGCCACUGUCCCCCUGUGAGAUUUCCCUUCGGAUAGGGCUCACAGUCGUGCCUAAACAUUAAGGUUUGCGUUCCUCAUCCCGGGGGGGCUGCGGUGAAGGAGGGGAUGGGGGGUAUAACGGGGAGAGUGCGUGGUGCUGGCGAGAGCGGGGCCAGGAAGAUGGCAAAAGUAGCCUGCAAAGCCGGGGACAUCCCGCAGGGAUGCUGCCAGCCGGGUCUCCCUCAGCGCGGUGUCCCGCAGCCGAGAUGUCUGCUCCGCAGGUUUGCUGGCCUCAGGCAAAGCUUCGGCUUCAGCUCCGGCUGGAGGAUGUGCCCGUCCCGCAGCCGCCCCUCGCCUGCAGCACGGGCAGCGCUGCCCAGCCCUGGCUGAGGAACCUGUGUCUGGUCGCUGGCAGACGCAGAUUCCCAUCUCCACCAGAAGCUGCCUCCGCCCUGGUAGAGCCUCCCCUCUCCCUUGGGACACACAGUGUUCCCUAGCCCCUUACUCUGAAAUGUGGGAUGGUACCAACCAGUCUUUGCUGGAAUGUCGCAGCCGAGAUCCCUCCUUCACCCCAGCCGCAGAUCUGCCCCUCCAUGCCCCCCGAGUGAGAACCUACCCCUCCAUAAAGGACACGAGUUGGCUUCCAGGUCUCUAGAUCACAGGGGGGGAAAUAACACAGUUUGAUGGGGCGGGCAAUUUGCCACCUGCCUGGGAAGCAGGGCUGGGAGGAGCAGCCCUGCCACAGCUCCGGGCGAGAGCAAUGGGGUGAGAUGCCCAAGGAGCUGCAGCAAGGCUGGGCAAAACCUGCAGGGGCUCAGGAAGGACCCCAAAACCCUUUUCCACCACCUGAAACUCAAACUGAAUGGCCCCUGAUGUGCAGCGAGGGGGUCCCUGCAAGCCUCUGCCCGUCUGCCGUGUCCCUACCUGUCCGUGCCUCCCAACAACAUGAGCGUAACAAGAAGACAGCACCAAGUCCCACACACACGCACGCACACACACACACACACACACAGACAGUGCGGGGAGGUGCGGCAGAGCCAAGGCGCAGCCGUGCUGUGCGAGGGAAGGUAAGCCACCAAGGCGUGACAGCGAAGCUAGGGGGGUGCCCGGGAGAUACGUGAAGGAAGAUGCUCGCCUUCCUGCCCAGAGCUGUGCUGGAUCAGCUGGCUGCUUGGGAAGCCCCAGCUGAAAGCAUCCUCCCCCCCCCCCGCAAUGGAUGAGAGAUGGGAGAUAGAUAGAGGAGAGGGAGAGCUGCUGCUGGGGAAGGUGGGAAGCAAGUUAUGGCUGGAGGAGAAGGUCUUUUCGGCAAAGCCACCUCUGCCGUGGGAAGCCCCCUGGAUUAACGUGCCAGUGGAGGCAGGGUGGGAAGGAGGUGGGCACUCGCUUCUGCAGUAGGGGAAGAGGAGUGAGAAAAUGCCAACUACAACAGUAAAAAGAAGCCCCAUUCCCACCCUGACACCCCCAUCCUGACACCCCCACCCCAGCCCCUCCCCUGCCCCUCUGACUUGCUAUGAGCCUGUUGUCCUGCUGGGAGGAGAAAGGAUGUGACAGCACUCUUAGGAAAGGGUAAAGAGGGUCCUGUGGAUUGGGAUAGUCAUUUCUAGCCCCAGCUCCUGGGGAACUUUCCCAUCCAGCAUUGGAAGCAGCCACCUGAACCUCCACGCUCCCCACAGGGAUGGGACCCUUGGCGUCCUGUCCUAAGAGGGGAGGAAUCCCUUUGGACAAGCCCCCAGGAGCUCCUAAGCUGGGAUAGUGGAGGUGGCCCACAUGCUUUUGGGAAGGACAGCCUGGGGGGUGCAAAGCAGAGGGUUGGGGAAGGGCAGGGAGCGAGGGCAAGAGCUCCGCUGCUGCUGGGCACAUGCCAGGGAUGUCCCAGGAAAGGCAUCUCUGGGGCCCCAGC